AUUGGUUAUUCCUCCAGUAAGUCAAAAUCCUUGACAGUCCCAUGAGUUCUGCUGCUUCAGUCAAGAUUCUCCAUAGUUAGCAGGUAACUGCCAGAGACCCGACACCACCACCUGGAGCGCCCAACCUGGGAUCAGGAGGAGGAAGUGGCCACGGAGAGCAGAGGAAAUGGACCUUUAUCCCGAGCUCCCUCAAGGAUACCUACCUUGAGGGAGAACUUUGAGGCCUUCGUGCAGCUGAUGGGUAUGCUGCAGGGCCCAGGGAGAGUCACCCCUUCCAGAGCACCCACCCUCCACCCCAGGAAGCUGAUCAUAGAGGGUCCUACCUGGUCUUUGCACUUUCCAUCUAUGACUCCCUUCUCUUCCCUAGUCUCUCCCCGCGCCCCGACCCCUGGUGGUGAGCAAACCCCAGCGACUUCCCCUCCACCCCAGAUCCCCCCAACCUCAAACCUCCUGUCACGGGCUCUCCCAGUGGGCUGUGUUAAUUCUCCCUCAAUUGAUGUUGGAAUUUCUUCUGAAAUCUAUGCUAAUUGAAAGAUUUCACUCUCCUGUUU